rnacentral:rRNA from 1 species
GACGAACCGUCCAAACGUUAUUCGGAAUCACUGGGCUUACAGAGUUCGUAGGCGGUCUGGAAAGUUGGGUGUGAAAUCCCACGGCUCACCCGUGGAACUGCUGGGCAUACUGGCGAUCUUGGGCCAACUAGGGGCAACUGGAACAAGCGGUGGAGCGGUGAAAUGCGUAGAUAUCGCUUGGAACGCCAAAGGUGAAAACAGGUUGCUGGGGUUGUGCCGACGCUGAGACACGAAAGCCAGGGGAGCAAACGGG